UAAAGAGUUCUAUAACUCCCAAACCCAUGUGAACAUACCUAACGUUGCCUCGGCAGGUCGCACCUACCUUGUAGCACCCUACCCUGUAGGGCCUACCCGGGAGGUGCGGGUAAGCCUGCCGGCGGCCCACCAAACUCUGUUUGAUAUUGAAUUCUGAACCUAUAACUAAAUAAGUUAAAACUUUCAACAACGGAUCUCUUGGUUCUGGCAUCGAUGAAGAACGCAGCGAAAUGCGAUAAGUAAUGUGAAUUGCAGAAUUCAGUGAAUCAUCGAAUCUUUGAACGCAUAUUGCGCCCAUUAGUAUUCUAGUGGGCAGGACCGUUCGAGCGUCAUUUCAACCCUUAAGCCUUCGUUGCUUAGUGUUGGGAGCCUACGGCAACGUAGCUCCUCAAAGUUAGUGGCGGAGUUGGUUCACACUCUAGACGUAGUAAUUUUUUAUCUCGCCUAUUAGUUGGACUAAUCCCCUGCCGUAAAACCCCCAAUUUAUCAAGGUUGACCUCGAAUCGGUUCAGACAAACUCGCUAAAUUGAAGCAUCUUAGUCAGCGAAGGAAAAGAAACCAACAGGGAUUGCCCUAGUAACGGCGAGUGAAGCGGCAACAGCUCAAAUUU
rnacentral:rRNA from 1 species